rnacentral:rRNA from 1 species
GAUGAACGCUAGCGGGAGGCCUAACACAUGCAAGCCGAGCGGUAUUGUUUCUUCGGACCUGAGAGAGCGGCGUACGGGUGCGUAACACGUGUGCAACCUGCCUUUAUCUGGGGGAUAGCCUUUCGAAAGGAAGAUUAAUACUCCAUAAUAUAUUGAACGGCAUCGUUUAAUAUUGAAAGCUCCGGCGGAUAGAGAUGGGCACGCGCAAGAUUAGCUAGUUGGUGAGGUAACGGCUCACCAAGGCGAUGAUCUUUAGGGGGCCUGAGAGGGUGAUCCCCCACACUGGUACUGAGACACGGACCAGACUCCUACGGGAGGCAGCAGUGAGGAAUAUUGGUCAAUGGGUGCAAGCCUGAACCAGCCAUCCCGCGUGAAGGACGACUGCCCUAUGGGUUGUAAACUUCUUUUGUAUAGGGAUAAACCUACCCUCGAGAGGGUAGCUGAAGGUACUAUACGAAUAAGCACCGGCUAACUCCGUG